rnacentral:snRNA from 1 species
GAAAUGAUCCUUCAGUGGAGCCACCACUAUGGUCAAGGAGGUUGUUUUCCCAGGGCAAGGCUUAUCCACUGCGCUUAGGAUACGCUGAGCCUGGCCUUUUCGGAAAUGUGGGAAAUUCGACUGCAUAAUUUGUGAUAGUGGGGGACCGUG